AACGAACGCUGGCGGCAGGCCUAACACAUGCAAGUCGAACGCUGUAGCAAUACAGAGUGGCAGACGGGUGAGUAACGCGUGGGAACCUUCCCAGUGGCGCGGAAUAGCUCAGGGAAACUUGAGGUAAUACCGCAUAAGCCCCUAGGGGGAAAGAUUUAUCGCCAUUGGAUGGGCCCGCGUCGGAUUAGCUAGUUGGUGAGGUAAUGGCUCACCAAGGCAACGAUCCGUAGCGGUUUGAGAGAAUGACCAGCCACACUGGGACUGAGACACGGCCCAGACUCCUACGGGAGGCAGCAGUGGGGAAUCUUGGACAAUGGGCGCAAGCCUGAUCCAGCCAUGCCGCGUGAGUGACGAAGGCCUUAGGGUUGUAAAGCUCUUUUGCCGGGGACGAUAAUGACGGUACCCGGAGAAUAAGUCCCGGCUAACUUCGUGCCAGCAGCCGCAGUAAU
rnacentral:rRNA from 1 species